GAGGAGGAAUUCUAUUGUCUCUCCAUUGUCCUACAAUGUACUCACAUCCUUCCAAUGUAGUCAAGCCAUUGACAGAAAAAUCAAGUGAAGCAUUAUCCACCCUCCUGUUUCUUUUCUUAAUUGGAAGACAUUCUCUAGUUAAAACUAUAGGUUAACAACGCCCUGGUUCAUUAGCAUCUGUCCUCUUAUUUCCAAGGACAGCUCUUCUCAGCCGUUAUCUUCCCAAAGGGUCUGCUGUGAGAGGACGGUGGUUCUCAGACUCUAAGCCCUGCUCUGCAUCUCUGUUCGCAGGCUGGGGUUGGGCAGUCAUUUAAUGAUCAACAGAAGCGUCUGCCCCUACCACUAGAAUAACCAGGUCAAUGUUUAACUGCAUUCUUUAGUUCUGGAAUGGCAAAGUAGAAGUUGAAGGGAAGUCUCCAUGGAAACCGGCCUCCCAGGAAGUGGCCAGAGAAGUUAGUGUCGGGGGACAGAACUGGAAAGAUGUCAUGAAGGAAACACCUGUUUUGGAAAAUGGGCCUGGGCCGCUCCAAGCCUCACCCUCGGGUGAUCAAAGUCACACCUUUACAAAGCCAAGAAGCAGAGAUUCCCUCAGCUGGCCCUGUGUUCUAUGCAUUAAAUCGGAACCUAGAAGAAAAGAGCUCAUACCCAUUCUCGAGACUGCAGGGUCAAAAGCAAGCUCUGGAAGGACUGCUACCACCUCUUCGAGAAACCUGGUACGGAAGACAUCCUGCAGUAUCCAGGCCCAUGUAUCUUGACAUCCCACUGAAAAAUGAAGAAUCAAGCAUUAUCAAAAGGCAUCCACCCCGAAGAAUUCAAAAGCUCAAGCCCAUUGACCUGCCACAAGUCAUUACCUCUGAGCGACUCCUGAGCCAGCAAGAAGCCAGAACAAGACACAAAGCAAAGCAGGAACUUGAGAAGAAAAUGCAGCUUCCAAUGUACACUUCUGGGAAGAGACAGUAUUUACAUAAGAUGAAAAUGCUGGAGAUAAACCAUAAGAGACAGGAGGCCCAAAUGAAGUUGGAGAGUCUUCAGAGUAAAGCAAGACUUGAUAUGCAAAAGCUGAAGGACCAUAACGGCAAUAAAAUCACCGAAAGCAUGCCCAGGAGCAAGCACUAUGACGUUGUCACCAUACUGCCUGAUGAAACCGUGAACAGACACCCAGGAAAUCCACGGGAUGAAAAGUUUGUGGAAUAUCACACAGAGAAUGGCUAUUGUGUCCGGAAAAUUGGCAAAAUGGAAGCAUGGCUCCGUGAACAAGCAGUCCAAGGACAGCUUUUCUGUGACAGCUCUAGCUCUGACUCAGACGAGCCUGAGAAAGAUCCGAAGAGACCACAAGCACUAGUGAGGACCAGGACAGAGAGGGUCCCUCUUUAUGAUGAGUUUUAUGACAGAGAAUGAGAAAACUACACACUACUCCAGACAGUUAAGACACCGAAUGGGAGCCAUGUAAUACAGGAUGGCCUUAGACUCACUAUAUAGCAGGGAUAAGCCUUGAAAUCUCAAACCUUCCACUUCCCAUGUGCUAAGAUCACAGGUACCACCGCACUUGACUUAAAGACACUGUGUUGGUGGACAAAUUGACACAUAAUAUAGAUGACUGAAGGCAUUGGCAGUCUUCAAGCAUUAAGACACUAACCUGCUGAUCAAAGCCUUGAGAGGUCAUAACAGCCAAUUCAGUACUGCAUACCAACUGUCGAACACCAGCAAUGGCCACAGCUUAAGGACUCUUGUAUUCUCAAGUGAGAACAUGCUGAUGCAGUUUCUUGUGCAGCUACUUGGGCUACCUACUCCUGAACCCACAGCAUCUUAUUGUAUUAGAAAGUAACUGCUCAAAGAAUGAUGGGUAAGUAUCAAGACGGAAAAAAAACCUAUUCAAAUGACAUAAAAUAAUUAAACCUUUUAUUUUGCAAAUUUUC